UACAGAGGUUCCAAGCGUUGUUCGGAUUCAUUGGGCGUAAAGGGCGCGUAGGCGGCGGGGUAAGUCGGAUGUGAAAUCCCGGGGCUCAACCUCGAAACUGCAUUCGAUACUGCCUUGCUAGAGUACUGGAGAGGAGAUCGGAAUUUACGGUGUAGCGGUGAAAUGCGUAGAUAUCGUGAGGAAGACCAGUGGCGAAGGCGGAUCUCUGGACAGUUACUGACGCUGAGGCGCGAAAGCCAGGGGAGCAAACGGG
rnacentral:rRNA from 1 species